AUGACUUUUUGUUUUUUUUAGAACGGUGAUCUCCGAGACAGCUUACGCUUAUCUCGACUAUUCCACAGGGUACCUGUUGUCUCCUACCACACAGGUACCGGAUAACUCUACCUAUCAAGGCUUGGGCGAAUGGGAAGAAAUCACGCCUUGUUUUUUGCAUCGGUGGAACGAUUCAAUCGAUAACUUAAGCGAAGGAUCACCAAGUAGUGGGAGGAGGUUUACGUUACCUACCCCCAGGAGGACGAAGGUUUCCCCCCUGAAGAAGUAUGGAUUUAAAAAAGUUACAAAGAGGAGGAAAUCCAAGAGAUGGAGUACGAUUGAAGAAGAAACUUUGAGGUCCGGUGUGCAGAAGUAUGGUGUCGGAAACUGGAGGCUCAUCUUUGAUACUAAUCAUGAAAUAUUCGAAGAUAGGACUCCGGUUGACUUGAAGGACAAAUGGAGAAACUUGACAUCCUAGCGAGAAAUUUGAAGAGAUCUGGUAAUGUAUGGACGUCCCUUUUUUUCUUAGGAUGUAAAUUGUUGUAUAACGUUUUCAUCGUGUAAAUGCAAGCUGCCUUGAGGGAUCUUGCUUGAUGUAUUGUAUACUCUAGAUGAACUUUGAUGUUUGACAUGUCGUCCCUCUAGACGAAGCUGUGGAACAUGUUUGUAUUAUUUGAUAUGAUGUAAAUAGAGUUGUCAUAAUCAUUUCAAGAGCUUUGAGAAAAGAGGUAAUAGAUGUGGCUCACAAUUUUGUCAUGGACCUCAAAA